GGCAUGUCUAGGAGGGAACAAACUACGUUGGCAAGACUAAGAAUAGGACACUCCCGGAUUACUCAUCUCUACCUUGUCAACAAAGAACCACAACCUAGAUGUGAAGUAUGUGACAUGGAGCUAACAAUUAAGCAUAUAAUUAUCGACUGUCGUCGGUGGUCUGACGAAAGAAAUAUUUUUGGUAACGACAAAAGCCAUAUUGAGUAUCGAGUAUGAAGAUUGUUCCCACCAACCUAAAAUUUGUUUGAACGCCCAUGUGACCGUGCGCUGUGCUGUCAUGUUAUCUUUACGACUUUCACUGCGCCACACAUUUUUACGGAAAUGUAAUUUUAAAGCAAACAAUAACUUUAACAAACUACUACGAACGUUAAGCAGAAUUGAAGACCUUAAGAAACGAGAUUUACGGUAACUAAGAAACCGUCUUAGAAAUUCGCUAAAUAACAAAAAUGCCGCACUUUCUACUUUUGUUAAGCAUAUUGUGAUACACCAAAAUAUUUAGGAAUAAUAUUAGACAGAACUUUAAGCUAAGGAAACAUUGCGAGGACACAACCAAAAAGUUAAUACGAGAAACGGAAUUAUAAGAAAAUUUAUAGAAUCUAAAAGGAGAGCAGACCCGAGCACAUUACGCACAUCUGCCAUAUCACUUUGGUUUUCGGCAGCAUAAUAUGCGUGUCAUGCAUGCCCUGCGUAAAAGAACUCUACCUACAAAAUAGAUAUUACAACAAAUAAAACAAGAUGGAUUAUUACAGAUUGCCUUAAACCCACGACAAUAGACGAUUUAUAUAUAAUUAGUGCGAUAGCAGAUCAGAAGAGAUGUGGCGGCCGAUAAAGAGAGACCAAAAAUAGAAAACGAUGUCAGACAACCACUUGCAUGGAAUAAAAGUUUUAUAAAACCGACAAAACACUGUUUUAAAAUCAAGGAAGAGUUUUAUGAUAACAAGUACACUGAUUGUCAUUUCAACAAGUGAAGGAAGAGUUAAGUGAUGGGAACAAAUGAUACUGAACAUAAAGCAAAAUGAAAGAGUGUAAAGAGUCAAGGGAAAAAUGUCAUAAAGGCAAAACUCUCCCAUGGAACUUAUGGAGAACCAUAAACCGAAUAAAAGUGUCACGUGGCCAUACUAAAAAGAUUAUAUAUAAAUUGGGUUUAGCCGAAGAUGACAAGUGUAAGGGUAGAGAAGUCCGAAAUAAAAGGUGGGUGUACAGCGAGGGAUAUUGACGACAUGAAUGGCAAUCUCAUGCGGUUGGCGGAAUACUGGGAUGGAAAAUUAUAGCUACUACUAUGUGUAAAACGUUACUAUAACCGGCCUUGAAGAGAAAAAAAACUUAUCAGUUAUAAUUUUAAAUAACGUGUAAUGAAGAUUGGCUAAAAAAAUAAAACAAAAAUA